UACGUAGGGGGCUAGCGUUGUCCGGAAUCAUUGGGCGUAAAGCGCGCGUAGGCGGCCCGGUAAGUCCGCUGUGAAAGUCAAAGGCUCAACCUUUGAAUGUCAGCGGAUACUGCCGGGCUAGAGUCCGGAAGAGGCGAGUGGAAUUCCUGGUGUAGCGGUGGAAUGCGCAGAUAUCAGGAGGAACACCAACGGCGAAGGCAGCUCGCUGGGACGGUACUGACGCUGAGGCACGAAGGUCAGGGGAGCAAACGGG
rnacentral:rRNA from 1 species